rnacentral:rRNA from 1 species
GACAAACGCUGGCGGCGUGCUUAAUACAUGCAAGUCGAACGGUCCCCUUCGGGGGAUAGUGGCGGACGGGUGAGUAACACGUAGAUAACCUGCCCUAUAGUGGGGAAUAACAGUCCGAAAGGAUUGCUAAUACCGCAUAAUCUCUGUACCGUGAGGUAGAGAGGAAAGCUCCUGCAAGGGGGCGCUGUAGGAGGGGUCUGCGGCGGAUUAGCUAGUAGGUGGGGUAACGGCCCACCCAGGCGACGAUCCGUAGCUGGUCUGAGAGGACGGCCAGCCA